rnacentral:rRNA from 1 species
GCUCCUGGCUCAGGAUGAACGCUAGCUACAGGCUUAACACAUGCAAGUCGAGGGGCAGCAUGUUGGUUGCUUGCAACCAAUGAUGGCGACCGGCGCACGGGUGAGUAACGCGUAUCCAACCUUCCGCAUACUCGGGAAUAGCCUUUCGAAAGAAAGAUUAAUGCCCGAUGGUUUCCCGAAUCCGCAUGAGAACGGGAAUAAAGAUUCAUCGGUAUGCGAUGGGGAUGCGUCCCAUUAG